GUGACCACCUCUGAGGGCAUCAGUUUCCUUGGCUACAAAAUGGUAAAAUGAGGAGUUUGGAAUAGUUUCUCUGAAAUCUCCUCUAACACUAAAUCCUAUGAUCCUAAACUGCUCCAACAUCUAUUGGGGGAGGGGGCAGAAGGGGAAGGCAAAGAACAAGCCCAAAGUCCAGUCAGAAGCGCUUCCACACCACUUACCUAUUUCUGUUUCCUCCAGCCAAAAUGGAAGUAAAGGAUCUGAUUAUAACCUGUGAAAAUAAGAUGCAGACAGAGCUUGACGCUAUCUACCCCCAGCUGGUGAAACGGUGUAGCCUUCUAUCCUCUCUGGAUCUCCCAGGCGAAAUGCCACUUGAUCUACUCAAGCAGGAAAAGGCCCAGAUUUCCCCAAGGAGCUCCAGCCGGCAUUUCCCAGCUCAGAAGGAUAUAGAUUGUGCCCAGCUAAAAUGGAAUCCAAGGAAGAGCCCAGAAGCUUGAAGGCAAAGAAAGAAGCCUUCUCUUUCUGUUCUAGAUCAGUGU
rnacentral:lncRNA from 1 species